rnacentral:rRNA from 1 species
AGAGUUUGAUCCUGGCUCAGGAUGAACGCUGGCGGCGUGCCUAACACAUGCAAGUCGAACGGACUUAACAUGAAACCUAGUGAUUGUUAAGUUAGUGGCGGACGGGUGAGUAACGCGUGGAUAACCUGCCGUAUGCGGGGGGAUAACAGUUGGAAACAGCUGCUAAUACCGCAUAAGCGCACAGUACCGCAUGGUACGGUGUGAAAAGAUUUAUCGGCAUACGAUGGAUCCGCGUCCGAUUAGCCAGUUGGCGGGGUAACGGCCCACCAAAGCGACGAUCGGUAGCCGGCCUGAGAGGGCGGACGGCCACAUUGGGACUGAGACACGGCCCAAACUCCUACGGGAGGCAGCAGUGGGGAAUAUUGCACAAUGGGGGAAACCCUGAUGCAGCGACGCCGCGUGAGUGAAGAAGUAUCUCGGUAUGUAAAGCUCUAUCAGCAGGGAAGAAAAUGACGGUACCUGACUAAGAAGCCCCGGCUAACUACGUGCCAGCAGCCGCGGUAAUACGUAGGGGGCAAGCGUUAUCCGGAUUUACUGGGUGUAAAGGGAGCGUAGACAGCGCUG